rnacentral:lncRNA from 1 species
AUCCUCAGUUCCCACCGCUGGGGCUGGCGGCGACCAACUACCUGUCGCAGCCAGAGAGCUGUCAUUUCAGUACCGGGAUUCAGAAUUGAUCCAGUCCGCAGCGGAGGGGGCACAUCCCAGCUACCGAGCUGCUGAGUAAGUCCCACUUUAUCAUUAAUGAUGACAAUAACUAAGGCUGCCAGGAACAGCACAUCUGCUGAGCUUUAUCAACACCAGAUUCUCUCAUUUUGCCUUCUGGAUCUCCAUGCUUUUUUAUACCAACAAACAAGAGGAAGAAUAUUCUCUACCCACUUCCUUGACUGAAGCCUGCUCUUUUAUGAAGACAUGGCAUCUCUUCCAACCGUGUCAAACAGAUGCAAUUUAUAUGUCUGCUGCUUCCAUACCCUGAUUAAAUGGGUCAGUGGCAGAAUCAGUAUCCUUAGUCUCCCCUUUGGUUUCAAAUAUGUACUCCUUAUUUCAGUUUCAUGCUCACCUUUCUGUAGAGACCAAGGCAUCUGCCUUUGCAGCUUUACCUCUUCCUCCAGGUUAUAGUUUCCAUUCAUGGAAUCUUUUAGCUGCUGGCUGGCAGUUUUCCUGUCUACCUGACUUCCAUUCCUCUUCUCAUGACUUCAGCUCCCAUGCAGAUGUCUUAUCCUGACAUACUAGCUUCUCCAUUCUAUUUCUGUGUGUGUGUGUCUGUGUGU